GACGAACGCUGGCGGCGUGCCUAAUACAUGCAAGUAGGACGAAGUUGCGAACGGGUGAGUAACGCGUAGGUAACUACCUAUUAGAGGGGGGUAACUAUUGGAAACGAUAGCUAAUACCGCAUACUAGUAGGUGGACCUGCGUUGUAUUAGCUAGUAGGUAGGGUAAUGGCCUACCUAGGCAACGAUACAUAGCCGACCUGGGAGGGUGAUCGGCCACAUUGGGACUGAGACACGGCCCAGACGCCUACGGGAGGCAGCAGUGGGGAAUCUUCCGCAAUGGGGGGAAGCCUGACCGAGCAACGCCGCGUGAGUGAGGACGGUUUUCGGAUCGUAAAGCUCUGUUGUUAGGGAAGCGGUACUUAACCAGAAAGCGACGGCUAACUACGUGCCAGCAGCCGCGGUAAUUC
rnacentral:rRNA from 1 species